UAAUACAUGCAAGUCGAACGCAAUCUUUGACUAAUGAGUGCUUGCACUCAGCGGUCAAAGUGCGAGUGGCGAACGGGUGAGUAACACGUGGGCAAUCUGCCCAAAAGUGGGGGAUAACACUUGGAAACAGGUGCUAAUACCGCAUCAACCGGCUGACCGCAUGGUCGGCCGGGCAAAGACGGCGUCAGCUGUCGCUUUUGGAUGAGCCCGCGGCGUAUUAACUAGUUGGUAAGGUAACGGCUUACCAAGGUGAUGAUACGUAGCCGAACUGAGAGGUUGAUCGGCCACAUUGGGACUGAGACACGGCCCAAACUCCUACGGGAGGCAGCAGUAGGGAAUCUUCCACAAUGGACGCAAGUCUGAUGGAGCAACGCCGCGUGUAUGAAGAAGGUCUUCGGAUCGUAAAAUACUGUUGUCAGAGAAGAACACGUGAUAGAGUAACUGCUAUGGCGCUGACGGUAUCUGACCAGCAAGUCACGGCUAACUACGUGCCAGCAGCCGCGGUAAUACGUAGGUGGCAAGCGUUGUCCGGAUUUAUUGGGCGUAAAGGGAACGCAGGCGGUCUUUUAAGUCUGAUGUGAAAGCCUUCGGCUUAACCGGAGAAGUGCAUUGGAAACUGGAAGACUUGAGUGCAGAAGAGGAGAGUGGAACUCCAUGUGUAGCGGUGAAAUGCGUAGAUAUAUGGAAGAACACCAGUGGCGAAAGCGGCUCUCUGGUCUGUAACUGACGCUGAGGUUCGAAAGC
rnacentral:rRNA from 1 species